rnacentral:lncRNA from 1 species
UGGAAGAAAAACUUACAUAAUGGUCAUUUGAGGAUAUAUUAAUACAUACUUACAUUUUAAAAAAUAUAUAUAUAAUUACAUGACUGAUCCAACACACAUCUAAGAACAAAAAUAUAUAACACAGUAAAGUAACGAAAUAUAUAGUCUCAACAAUAAACUAAAGUAGUACAAAUGAAACGAACAUAAUUAUCGGAAAAUAAUAUCCGCGCGGGUGCGCGGGUCAAAAUCUAGUAAAAUAUUAUAACACAAUCACUAAACACAAAAAUAGUUUUUAAUUAUAUUAGUAUACU